rnacentral:tRNA from 1 species
UGCUUUAAUAAUUUAUAUAAAAAUAAUGAUUUUGUAAAUCAGAAAAGAAUUUUUUCUUAAAGC